rnacentral:ncRNA from 1 species
CUUCACUGUUCCUUGGGAUUGGCUUUGGGCUUUUCCUGCGCAGCUUAGGUGGAAGGCGAAGAAGGCCUCCUUUCGGGGGGCCCAAGCCAUCAGUGGGAUACCACUCUGGAAGAGCUAGAAUUCUAACCUUGUGUCAAAGACCUAUGGACCAAGGGACUGUCUCGAUGGGGGUAGGCCUCCCAAAAGGUAACGGAGGCAUGCAAAGGUUUCCUCGGGCUAGACGGAGAUUGACCCUCCAAUGCAAAGACAAAAGGGAGCUUGACUGCAAGAACCACCCAUUGAGCAGGGACGUAAAAAUUUGCGUUCAUUAAUGUUCCCGCCAAUCAACAUCACUUGUGAGAAAAAAG